rnacentral:tRNA from 1 species
GUCAUGGAUCAGGGAUAGAGCAUCUGCUUUGCAUGCAGAAGGUCUCAAGUUUAAACCCUGGUAUCUCCU